rnacentral:rRNA from 1 species
AGUGAACGCUGGCGGUAGGCCUAACACAUGCAAGUCGAACGGCAGCACAGUAAGAGCUUGCUCUUACGGGUGGCGAGUGGCGGACGGGUGAGGAAUACAUCGGAAUCUACUUUUUCGUGGGGGAUAACGUAGGGACACUUACGCUAAUACCGCAUACGACCUACGGGUGAAAGCAGGGGAUCUUCGGACCUUGCGCGAUUGAAUGAGCCGACGUCGGAUUAGCUAGUUGGCGGGGUAAAGGCCCACCAAGGCGACGAUUCGUAGCCGGUCUGAGAGGAUGAUCCGCCACACUGGAACUGAGACACGGUCCAGACUCCUAAGGGAGGCAGCAGUAGGGAAUAUUGGACAAUGGGCGCAAGCCUGAUCCAGCCAUACCGCGUGGGUGAAGAAGGCCUUCGGGUUGUAAAGCCCUUUUGUUGGGAAAGAAAAGCAGCAGGUUAAUACCCCGCUGUUCUGACGGUACCCAAAGAAUAAGCACCGGCUAACUUCGUG